AUGGAGGCAACGGCGCUGAGCGUCGGCAAGUCAGUGCUAAAUGGAGCUCUUAGCUACGCCAAAUCGGCGGUGGCGGAGGAGUUGGCUCUGCAGCUGGGCGUGGGGCAUGACCAGGCCUUCAUCACCGGGGAGUUGGAGAUGAUGCAGUCGUUUCUCAUGUCGGCGCACGAUGAGGGAGACGGCAAUAACAAGGUGGUGAAGACCUGGGUGAAGCAGGUCCGCGACGUGGCCUACGUCGUUGAGGACUGUCUCCAGGAUUUCGCUGUCCGUGUCAACAGGAAACCAUGGUGGGGCAGGCUGAUGCACCGGCACGAUGUGGCGAAGCAGAUGAAGGAACUGAGGGCCAAAGUGGAUGAUGUCAGCCAGAGGAACAUACGCUACCGGCUCAUCAAUAGCUCAUCAGCUGCUUCUUCUUCCUCCUCCAAGCAGCCAGCAACUGACAAGUCUGCAGCAGCGUCAACGUUUGGCAUCCAUGACGCCGCCGAGAAGCACAAACAAUCAAACAUGGAUCUUGCUCAGCUGCUCAUGGUCAACUGCCAGGACGAGACUAAUGACCUGGGGCUUGGGGUGAUCGCCGUGUGGAGGACAAGUGCUGAUCUCGGGCAGACAUCUAUCAUCAGGGCGGUCUAUGAGAAUCCAGAUGUCACAGCCAAAUUCCCAUACCGAGCUUGGGUCAGGCUGACACAUCCUUUUGAUCGAAAGGAAUUCGUCGAGAGCUUAGUAGAGCAGUUUCAUCAUAGUACAAUAACUGCUGUUAUGCUCGAAAUGGACCAGAAGACCCCGCAACAGUUGGCUCAGGAGUUUUAUGGGGGGCAAGAAUACAACGUAUCAAAGCUCAAGCAAUUGUCAGCUCAUCAGAAUAUCUAUGCUUUCCAUAACAUGUGGGUUCCUUGUGUGCAGCGCUCUGAACAUGAAACAUCAGAUUUCACCGGGACGAGUUCAUGCUCAAAAGGAGACACUACCAAUAGUACUGAUAACUCAACAGUGCCUAGCUGUGAGAUAAUUGAGGAUCCAUCUACAGACGGUGAUGAUGGAAAGAGUCUCACUUGGAACAACACGAUGAAAUCUCAUGUUGUUGGGAGAGCUCAAGAAAAAAAAGAUAUUAUUGAACUAUUGUCUCAUCAAGGUACCAAAAAGUUCCAGGUGAUUUCCAUUUGGGGAAUGGGUGGCCUUGGGAAAACCACUCUAGUGGAAGAUAUCUAUCAAAGCAAAGAACUCAAUGACAAGUUUGAGAAGCGUGCUUGUGUGACACUUUUGCGUCCUUUCAGUCUUAUAGAGCUUCUUAGGAGCUUAUUCGUGCAACUUGACAUAGAAACUUCUGAAAAGAAGGCUGCUCUGGGUUUACCUCCAGGCAAAAAGGAGAUAUUACCAACUAUGACAGUUGAUGACCUAAUCGAUGAGCUAGCAAUACUGGUAGACAAAAAAAGAUGUCUUAUUGUUCUUGAUGAUGUAUCAUCUACUGCAGAGUGGGAUCAGCUAAUACGACCAGUUAUUUUCCAUAAGAUAGAAAAUAGAAGCCGAAUCAUAGUCACCACAAGAAAGGAGAGUAUUGCUCUACAUUGUUCAGAGAACAAUCAAGGAAAUGUAUACAGGCUCAAAGAUCUAGCGUACGAGUAUGCACGUGAGCUCUUCACUGAAAAGCAUCAGAUUGAAAAGGCUAAAACACACAUGAACAACAAAGACCUUCGAAAUUGCGGUGAUGUAGGGUAUAAGAAAAGACUUCUGUUGGGAUUUUCCAUGGAUGGAUCACAACAAAACACGAUGAACACGCGCACACUGAAAAAUUUGCAGCCAAGGGCCCUUGUCGUGUCCUUGUUUUCUUUAUUUCUUCUUUCUCACGAUUUGGAUAAGCAAUAUCCACAGCUAGUUGAACCAACCAAAUUGAUCCUGAAGAAGUGUGGCCAACUACCCCUUGCAAUAGUCACCGUAGGUGGCUUUUUGGCAAACCAACCAAAAACUUCUCUCCAAUGGAGGAAAUUUUAUGAUCAUAUCAGUGCCGAGAUGGAGAUGAAUCCAGAGCUUGCAACCAUAAGAACCGUCCUUAUGAAAAGCUAUGAUGACCGUAAGAUUGAACGAAGACGCUUGGUGCUUCGGUGGACAGCAGAGGGUUACUCAAGGGAGGUGCGUGAUAAGUCAGCAGAGGAAGUAUCGGAUAGCUACUUCAUGGAACUUAUAGGCAGGAGCAUGAUACUGCCAUCUCUAAAAUCAUUUCAUAGUAUAAAAGGAAUUGAUUCCUGCCAGGUCCAUGAUCUCAUUCGUGAAAUAAGUAUCUCAAAGUCUGUGGAAGAAAACCUUGUUCUGAGACUAGAGAAAGGUUGUAAGUUGAAUAGCCAGCAGGGCAAUGCACGCCAUCUUGCUAUAAAUGGCAAUUGGGAAGGAGACCAAAGUGAAUUCGAGAGAAUGGUGGACAUGCCUCGUGUACGGUCUGUAACAGUUUUUGGAAAGUGGAGGCCAUUUUUCAUGUCAGUGAAGAUGAGGAUGCUACGAGUUCUUGACUUGGAAGACACGAUGGGUCUUUUCGACCAUCACCUUAAGCAUAUUCGGAAGCUUCUUCACUUAAGAUACUUAUCUCUGAGAGGAUGUGAAGAUAUUUAUCACUUGCCAAAUUCAAUUGGUAACCUGAUGCAACUCCAAACACUGGAUAUCAGAGGCACCUCCAUAUUGAUACUGCCGAGAAGCAUCAUCAAGCUCCGGAAGCUGCAAUAUCUUCGUGGCGGUAACAAUAUUACGAAUGCUGGACUGAUGAUAAGGUAUGCAAUGCAUCCUUAUGUGGAGGCAUGCAUUUGUUUUCCUAUUGCAUGUUGCAUAACUCUAGCAUGGGCACGGGCACGGGAAAUAGAUGACCACCGGUACCGGCGUGAUAUAUGCACACGCAUGUGCUGCACGGUAAUCCCUUCUUUGAUGAUGGGGAUGGACAAUGAUGGCAUGAUGGUGCCAAGAGGGAUUGGGAGAAUGAACUCCCUGCAUACCUUACAGGGUGUGGACCUCCUCGCGUUCGGAGGCAUUGCUGUUCUACGGAACAUUAAAGGACUCACCAGGCUGCGUAAGUUAGGAGUGGUCGGCCUAAAAGAGAAGGAUGCUUCAGAGUUCUGUUCUGUCGUUUCUAGUCUGAACCUCCUAGAAUCAUUGUCAGUGGGUGGGUGUUUGCGUCUGCAUGGCAAUACCUUGUAUCAUAGCAACCUGCAUCUGGAUGGUAUUUCCUUGCAUCCGAAUAACCUCCAGAACCUCAAGCUGGACGGCAUCAUGCCCAAAUUGCCGGAAUGGGUCAAGAAUCUUGAAAACCUUGUAAGAUUGAAGAUCGAAUUCAGAACAUCCAGCCAAGUGGAGCAGGGUUGUGCUAUACGAGCCCUGGGGAGUCUACCAAACCUAGCCGUUUUGCGUCUUUGGGUGAUGUGGUUCAGAGGUGAAGAAUUACAUUUCGUGCCGGAGGCAUUCCCGAGCCUCAUUGUGUUGGAGCUUGUAAACACAGAGGAAAGCUUGAAACUGGUUGAGUUUGAACACGGAGCAAUGCCCAAACUCCAGCAGCUUCUCGUCGAGGAUUUCCGCGAAAAAUUAAACAACAUGAUUAUCUCGUUUGGUGUUAGUUUGGCAUCUGAGAAAGAAACGGGGGAGACAGCAGACCUCAGUCCACUCCACUCUGUUCGUCUUCUCCUCUUUCCAAUCCGUCCUCUCCUCUUCCCAAUCCGAUACAUGGUGGACGACCGGAGCGGCUCCGGCUCCAAUGGCGACGAGAACGACGUCGAAGCGGCCACUCUCCAGAUUGCUUUGCGCCGCUCCCUUCUAGAUCAGAACGAGCGACACGUUGUCCCCCUUCACCCGCCGUCGCAGUGCGGGCGACAUUGCCGGGCCAUCCCGUCCGACGCUAAGCAUGGGUGGGAGCACCGCUCGCUCCACCCCAAUCUAGGUGUGCUGUCCGGCCGCCAUCCCAUCCAUUCUACCUCCGAGGAGUGUUCACGGGCACUGUUGGGUGCUUGUGCCCUCGCCGGCGCUGGCCGGUCGAGGACGCCCGAGUCAGAGGUGCCGGCCGCAUGGCGCGAGCGGCAAUUUGUGAGGGAGGCCAUGGCUGCGGGCGACGCGUCGGCGAGGCGCCGGGCACUCACGCGCACGCCCUUUGAUCCCGGGGACGAGCUCACUGCGUCCAUCCUCCGGUGCUCCCUGACAACGGCGGAGAUGAAUGCGUGGCGGCUGCGGUGGAAGAACGACCAAGCGCUCUGGCUCGCUAUUAAGUUGUCGGAGAGCGAGGCGUCGGUGAAGGAGAGGAGGCUCGCUGAGGAGCAGGAACGCUUGCUGCGGAGGCUUGCCGUGGGUCACAUGGAGCUGUCCGAUGACUCCGACGAUGGCUCAAGCUCCGACAACGGCUCAAGCUCCGACAACGACGACGACAACCCUUCGAUGGUGACGCCUACACCGACGGCCAAAGCAACACCGCCGACCGCAAGGGGAAGUGGCCACGGCCCGGGCAACCAGGGGCCUAGCUAUGCCCCUGGGUGGCUCCAGAAGCAGUCUGAAGAAAUGCAUGGCUUGUCAUAUUGGUUCUUUGAAGAGUCAAAGAACUUGUUGUGGUUCUUGAAAGACGAUACAUUGAACUUCAGGUUUUCAAUGGGAGCCGAUCCACGAAGGCGAGGCAAACGAGGUGUGGGCCUAAGGACAAUGCGCCUGUUAUGCACAUUGAAUUCAUACAUUGGCCCAACACUAUGGCGAGUUAAGUUGCAUCCAUUUGGCACAUAUUGGGGCUCUAGUGUUGUCAUGAGCCAAUACAGUGUUAGCCUCAUUGUCUUCCUCGGUGGUGAUUGA
rnacentral:rRNA from 1 species